rnacentral:ribozyme from 1 species
UAACGUACCACUCCGAAUAUCCAAGCUUGGGUAAACGGGGAAACCCAACCCCUUGGGAGGAUGGAUGGUACGG